rnacentral:rRNA from 1 species
UGGGGAAUUUUGGACAAUGGGCGAAAGCCUGAUCCAGCAAUGCCGCGUGUGUGAAGAAGGCCUUCGGGUUGUAAAGCACUUUUGUCCGGAAAGAAAUCCUUGGCUCUAAUACAGUCGGGGGAUGACGGUACCGGAAGAAUAGGCACCGGCUAACUACGUGCCAGCAGCCGCGGUAAUACGUAGGGUGCAAGCGUUAAUCGGAAUUACUGGGCGUAAAGCGUGCGCAGGCGGUUUGCUAAGACCGAUGUGAAAUCCCCGGGCUCAACCUGGGAACUGCAUUGGUGACUGGCAGGCUAGAGUAUGGCAGAGGGGGGUAGAAUUCCACGUGUAGCAGUGAAAUGCGUAGAGAUGUGGAGGAAUACCGAUGGCGAAGGCAGCCCCCUGGGCCAAUACUGACGCUCAUGCACGAAAGCGUGGGGAGCAAACAGGAUUAGAUACCCUGGUAGUCCACGCCCUAAACGAUGUCAACUAGUUGUUGGGGAUUCAUUUCCUUAGUAACGUAGCUAACGCGUGAAGUUGACCGCCUGGGGAGUACGGUCGCAAGAUUAAAACUCAAAUGAAUUGACGGGGUCAUAGCUG